rnacentral:rRNA from 1 species
AGGAUGAACGCUGGCGGAAUGCCUAAUACAUGCAAGUCGAGCGGCAGCGCGAGUAGUUUACUACUUGGCGGCGAGCGGCGGACGGCUGAGUAACGCGUGGGAACGUGCCCCAAAGUGAGGAAUGACUGCCCGAAAGGGUAGCUAAUGCCGCAUAUGAUCUUCGGAUUAAAGGAUUUAUCCGCUUUGGGAGCGGCCCGCGUACGAUUAGAUAGUUGGUGAGGUAAAGGCUCACCAAGUCGACGAUCGUUAACUGAUCUGAGAGGAUGAUCAGUCAGACUGGAACUGAGACACGGUCCAGACUCCGUACGGGAGCAGCAGUAAGGAAUCUUCCACAA